CCUACGGGAGGCAGCAGUGGGGAAUUUUGGACAAUGGGCGCAAGCCUGAUCCAGCAAUGCCGCGUGAGUGAAGAAGGCCUUCGGGUUGUAAAGCUCUUUUGUCAGGGAAGAAACGGCUGAGGUUAAUACCUUCGGCUAAUGACGGUACCUGAAGAAUAAGCACCGGCUAACUACGUGCCAGCAGCCGCGGUAAUACGUAGGGUGCAAGCGUUAAUCGGAAUUACUGGGCGUAAAGCGUGCGCAGGCGGUUUUGUAAGUCUGACGUGAAAUCCCCGGGCUCAACCUGGGAAUUGCGUUGGAGACUGCAAGGCUGGAGUCUGGCAGAGGGGGGUAGAAUUCCACGUGUAGCAGUGAAAUGCGUAGAGAUGUGGAGGAACACCGAUGGCGAAGGCAGCCCCCUGGGUCAAGACUGACGCUCAUGCACGAAAGCGUGGGGAGCAAACAGGAUUAGAUACCCUGGUAGUCCACGCCCUAAACGAUGUCUACUAGUUGUCGGGUCUUAAUUGACUUGGUAACGCAGCUAACGCGUGAAGUAGACCGCCUGGGGAGUACGGUCGCAAGAUUAAAACUCAAAUUGAAUUGACGGNNGAGAGNGCGAGACGACGACGAGGAGGAGG
rnacentral:rRNA from 1 species